rnacentral:rRNA from 1 species
GACCCUGAUCAGCCAUCCCGCGUGUGCGAUGAAGGCCUUCGGGUUGUAAAGCACUUUUGGCAGGAAAGAAACGUCGCGGGUUAAUACCUCGCGAAACUGACGGUACCUGCAUAUUAAGCACCGGCAUAACUUCCUGCCAGGGGAACACG